rnacentral:rRNA from 1 species
GUAACACGNUGNAGNUAACCUGCCCCUGACUCUGGGAUAAGCGUUGGAAACGACGUCUAAUACUGGAUAUGAUCACUGGUCGCAUGGCCUGGUGGUGGAAAGAUUUUUUGGUUGGGGAUGGACUCGCGGCCUAUCAGCUUGUUGGUGAGGUAAUGGCUCACCAAGGCGACGACGGGUAGCCGGCCUGAGAGGGUGACCGGCCACACUGGGACUGAGACACGGCCCAGACUCCUACGGGAGGCAGCAGUGGGGAAUAUUGCACAAUGGGCGAAAGCCUGAUGCAGCAACGCCGCGUGAGGGAUGACGGCCUUCGGGUUGUAAACCUCUUUUAGUAGGGAAGAAGGGAGCUUCGGUUCUUGACGGUACCUGCAGAAAAAGCACCGGCUAACUACGUGCCAGCAGCCGCGGUAAUACGUAGGGUGCAAGCGUUGUCCGGAAUUAUUGGGCGUAAAGAGCUCGUAGGCGGUUUGUCGCGUCUGCUGUGAAAUCCCGAGGCUCAACCUCGGGCUUGCAGUGGGUACGGGCAGACUAGAGUGCGGUAGGGGAGAUUGGAAUUCCUGGUGUAGCGGUGGAAUGCGCAGAUAUCAGGAGGAACACCGAUGGCGAAGGCAGAUCUCUGGGCCGUAACUGACGCUGAGGAGCGAAAGCAUGGGGAGCGAACAGGAUUAGAUACCCUGGUAGUCCAUGCCGUAAACGUUGGGCGCUAGAUGUAGGGAC